rnacentral:misc_RNA from 1 species
UACGGAGGGUCCAAGCGUUGUCCGGAAUCACUGGGUGUAAAGGGUGCGCAGGCGGGCCUGUAAGUCAGGGGUGAAAGCCAUCGGCUUAACCGAUGAAUUGCCCUUGAUACUGCAGGUCUUGAGUCUCGGAGAGGUUGGCGGAAUUCGUGGUGUAGCGGUGAAAUGCGUAGAUAUCACGAGGAACACCGGAAGUGUAGACGGCCAACUGGACGAGUACUGACGCUGAGGCACGAAAGCGUGGGGAGCGAACAGG